rnacentral:tRNA from 1 species
GGAGAGGUGGCUGAGUGGCCGAAAGCACCGGUCUUGAAAACCGGCGAGGGCUUAUACCCCUCCAAGAGUUCGAAUCUCUUCUUCUCCGCCA